CGAGACUCCGCCCCCUCAUUGAGCGGGGCGGGCCCCGCCAUCUCCUCAGGGCCGGGGGGGUCCCCGUCCCGCUCCCCCUCUCCCGGGACACGGGCGGGCCCUGGGGGUCCCGCCGCCCCCCUCACCUCUGUAGCGAGAAACAAGGACGGUGGCACCCUGCUUGAUGGUGGUGAUGUGCUUGCUCUCUGGCUUUGUUCUCCCCUGAUCAAAGCCAUGCAGAUGGAUUUAUUCCGGUAACUUUCAGUCAUAUUGAGGUUUGCACAGACCUUGGACAGGAUGUUGGGAUUGCUGAAGAAUCCCAUUGUGGUUACUGCGGAGAUCAAUGUGAACCUCGUGGCAUUGACUGUGAUUGGAUUAAUAAGCCGUCUUUGGGGGCUUUCCUACCCACGGGCUGUAGUUUUUGAUGAAGUUUAUUAUGGCCAAUUCGUCUCCCUCUACAUGAAGAGGAUCUUCUUCGUGGAUGACAGCGGCCCACCUUUUGGCCACAUGCUGCUGGCUCUGGGAGGUUACUUAGGAGGAUUUGAUGGAAACUUCUUAUGGAACAGGAUUGGAGCUGAAUAUAGCAUGAACGUUCCUGUUUGGUCCUUGCGACUCCUGCCAGCACUGGCUGGUGCUCUCUGUGUGCCUUUAGCCUACCAGAUCUUGGUAGAACUGCAGUUUUCUCACUGUGCUGCAUUUGGAGCUGCUCUUCUGAUUCUCUUAGAGAACUCUUUGAUCACUCAGUCGAGGUUCAUGCUUCUGGAAUCGAUACUGAUUUUUUUUAUCCUGCUUGCAGUUUUGUCCUACCUGAAGUUCUACAAUUUGCAAAGGCACAGUUCCUUCUCUGGAAGUUGGUGGUUUUGGCUUCUGUUGACUGGAGUAGCAUGUUCUUGUGCAGUUGGGGUGAAAUAUAUGGGCCUGUUUACCUAUAUGCUGCUCUUGGGCAUCGCAGGACUCCACUUCUGGCACAUGAUAGGAGACCCAAACUUGUCAAAUGUUUCCUUGAUGUGCCAUUUUCUAGCUAGGGGACUGGCCCUCGUCGUCGUCCCAGUGGCAAUGUACCUGUCCUUCUUCUAUGUUCACCUGACUUUGCUGUAUCGCUCUGGGCCUCAUGACCAGAUUAUGACAAGUGCUUUUCAAGCCAGCUUAGAGGGUGGGCUGGCUCGAAUCACUCAGGGUCAGCCCUUAGAGGUGGCCUACGGCUCUCAGAUCACCCUGCGGAACGUGUUGGGCAAGCCCAUGCAGUGUUGGCUCCAUUCUCACACAAAUACUUAUCCCAUCAGGUAUGAGAAUGGCCGAGGUAGUUCCCAUCAACAGCAGGUGACCUGUUAUCCCUUCAAGGAUGUGAACAACUGGUGGAUUGUCAAAGAUCCUGGGAUGCAGCAGCUGGUGGUGAGUAACCCCCCCCGUCCUGUCAGGCAUGGCCACAUCGUGCAGCUGGUCCACGGCAUUACCACUCGGUACCUCAACACGCAUGAUGUUGCUGCCCCUCUUAGCCCCCACUCCCAAGAAGUUUCCUGCUAUAUUGAUUAUAACAUCUCUAUGCCAGCACAGAACCUCUGGAGAGUGGAAAUUGUAAAUCGGGAGUCAGACACAGAUGUGUGGAAGACAAUUCUGUCAGAAGUGAGGUUUGUUCAUUUGAACACCUCUGCAGUGCUAAAGCUCAGUGGAGCGUCGUUACCCGAGUGGGGGUACCGGCAGCUGGAGGUGGUUGGAGAGAAGCUGUCCAAAGGCUACCACCAGAGCAUGGUGUGGAACGUGGAAGAGCACAGAUAUGGGAAAAGCCAAGAGCAAAAAGAGAGGGAAGUAGAACUCCACUCUCCUACACAGAUGGACAUAAGUAAAAACCUCAGCUUCAUGGCAAAGUUCACAGAAUUGCAGUGGAAAAUACUCACAUUAAAAAAUGAAGACACAGAACAUAAGUACAGCUCCUCUGCUCUCGACUGGAUCACAAUGGACACAAAUAUUGCCUACUGGCUCCACCCCACCUCUGGUGCCCAGAUCCACCUCCUUGGGAAUGUUGUCACCUGGGCUUCAGCUAAUGUUGCUGCUCUGGUCUACGUGUGUCUGUCCCUGUGGUACUUGAUACGACGGAGAAGAAAAAUUUACGACAUUCCUGAAGAUGCAUGGCAGCUGUGGGUGUCAGCUGGGGGCAUCUGUGUUGGAGGCUGGGCUGUGAAUUACCUGCCCUUCUUCUUGAUGGAGAAAACGCUUUUCCUGUACCACUACCUGCCCGCCCUCACCUUCCAGAUUCUCCUGAUCCCCAUCGUGUUACAGCAUCUUGGCAAUCAUCUCUGCAGAUCUCUGCUUCUCAAGAGCAUGUUCGGUGCAUUGAUUGUGGCCUGGUUCUCCUCAGUUUACCUUGUCUAUCGCACGUUCAGCCCUGUCACCUAUGGGGAGCCCUCACUGUCUGUUACAGAGCUCAAGGACUUGCGCUGGAAGGACAGCUGGAACAUCCUUAUCCAAAAACAGUAACAAUUGCAGCCUUGUCACAGGCAAAAGGAAACGCCUUUUAUGCAAAGCCAAGAAUUUAUUGUUAGUAUCGUGGAAAUCUUAACAGUCUGGUCAAAUAAUUGAGAGUUGUCCAGAUCUAAUUAUUACAGAAAAAGAAAAUAAAAGAAUACUGUUACAGAAAAGGUCCUUCGCUGGGAAGAGUCUGCUGCAAGGGCUUCUUCUUCCUCUUUCCUGGGAGAAUGAUGGUGAGUGUUUCUUCCUCCUCGCACUACGUGGCGCUUGGGGCUAUUUUAUCUGUUCCCUAGCACCUUGGUCUGCAAUUCCAUUGGUACAAGUUACUAUAAAUAGAUUCUCUCCAUCAUA